rnacentral:rRNA from 1 species
UGAACCAGCCAAGUAGCGUGAAGGAUGACUGCCCUAUGGGUUGUAAACUUCUUUUAUAAAGGAAUAAAGUCGGGUAUGCAUACCCGUUUGCAUGUACUUUAUGAAUAAGGAUCGGCUAACUCCGUGCCAGCAGCCGCGGUAAUACGGAGGAUCCGAGCGUUAUCCGGAUUUAUUGGGUUUAAAGGGAGCGUAGGUGGGUUGUUAAGUCAGUUGUGAAAGUUUGCGGCUCAACCGUAAAAUUGCAGUUGAUACUGGCUGUCUUGAGUGCAGUAGAGGUGGGCGGAAUUCGUGGUGUAGCGGUGAAAUGCUUAGAUAUCACGAAGAACUCCGAUUGCGAAGGCAGCUCACUGGACUGCAACUGACACUGAUGCUCGAAAGUGUGGGUAUCAAACAGGAUUAGAUACCCUGGUAGUCCACACAGUAAACGAUGAAUACUCGCUGUUUGCGAUAUACAGUAAGCGGCCAAGCGAAAGCGUUAAGUAUUCCACCUGGGGAGUACGCCGGCAACGGUGAAACUCAAAGGAAUUGACGGGGGCCCGCACAAGCGGAGGAACAUGUGGUUUAAUUCGAUGAUACGCGAGGAACCUUACCCGGGCUUGAAUUGCAACUGAAUGAUGUGGAGACAUGUCAGCCGCAAGGCAGUUGUGAAGGUGCUGCAUGGUUGUCGUCAGCUCGUGCCGUGAGGUGUCGGCUUAAGUGCCAUAACGAGCGCAACCCUUAUCUUUAGUUACUAACAGGUCAUGCUGAGGACUCUAGAGAGACUGCCGUCGUAAGAUGUGAGGAAGGUGGGGAUGACGUCAAAUCAGCACGGCCCUUACGUCCGGGGCUACACACGUGUUACAAUGGGGGGUACAGAAGGCAGCUAC